rnacentral:rRNA from 1 species
GAUGAACGCUGGCGGCGUGCCUAAUACAUGCAAGUAGAACGCUGAAGGAGGAGCUUGCUCUUCUGGAUGAGUUGCGAACGGGUGAGUAACGCGUAGGUAACCUGCCUGGUAGCGGGGGAUAACUAUUGGAAACGAUAGCUAAUACCGCAUGACAACAGUUAUUGCAUGAUAACUGUUUAAAAGGGGCAACUGCUCCACUACCAGAUGGACCUGCGUUGUAUUAGCUAGUUGGUGAGGUAACGGCUCACCAAGGCGACGAUACAUAGCCGACCUGAGAGGGUGAUCGGCCACACUGGGACUGAGACACGGCCCAGAGUCCUACGGGAGGCAGCAGUAGGGAAUCUUCGGCAAUGGACGGAAGUCUGACCGAGCAACGCCGCGUGAGUGAAGAAGGUUUUCGGAUCGUAAAGCUCUGUUGUAAGAGAAGAACGAGUGUGAGAGUGGAAAGUUCACACUGUGACGGUAUCUUACCAGAAAGGGACGGCUAACUACGUG